rnacentral:rRNA from 1 species
AUUAAACGCUGGCGGCAUGCCUUACACAUGCAAGUCGAACGGCAGCACGGGGGCAACCCUGGUGGCGAGUGGCGGACGGGUGAGUAAAGCAUCGGAACGUAUCCUGGAGUGGGGGAUAACGUAGCGAAAGUUACGCUAAUACCGCAUAUUCUGUGAGCAGGAAAGCAGGGGAUCGCAAGACCUUGCGCUCUGGGAGCGGGCCGAUGUCGGAUUAGCUAGUUGGUGGGUAAAGGCCUACCAAGGCGACGAUCCGUAGCGGGUCUGAGAGGAUGAUCCGCCACACUGGGACUGAGACACGGCCCAGACUCCUACGGGAGGCAGCAGUGGGAAUUUGGACAAUGGGCGCAAGCCUGAUCCAGCCAUGCCGCGUGAGUGAAGAAGGCCUCGGUUGGUUAAACG